ACCGCCCAGAUUGGAUUCGUCCCCAAUUCUCUGCCUCCGCCGCCAGGACGACGGCAAAUCCGCCCAGACAGGGUGGACGUCGACGCCGGCGAAUCCUGCUCGGAUUGCACACAUCACCGCCACCCGUCGUGCGCCGACAUCUGUAGGUCGCCAGCCAACAACCUUAGACUGAGGCACCCUGAAUCCAUCUGCUAUUGUUCAGCUUGGUGUUCGGGCAAUCCUUGUUCUCGCCUCAGCACAAAUAGAUCGCCAAGAUGAAUAGAAGUUGGUUGAAUGGUACAUUGUUUUCCCCUGAAUAUAUCAAUGGUGUCAAAGAAUUUAUGAGCUUUAUUCAAAGAAAAUUCGGUGAGGAUGAAGAUAUUUUGUGUCCAUGUAGUAGAUGUCUCAACCAAAAGUCCUUUCAUCAAGCCUUUGUGGAGAAGCAUAUAUUAAUGAAUGGGAUGGAAAGUACAUAUACUCGAUGGAUUCAUCAUGGAGAGAACUUUGAGGAAGAUGCCGGUCAUUCGAUACAUGGGACAGGUGUGAUUGAUGAUGACAGCUAUGGUGAUGAUUGUUUUGAUGGGAUGUUACAAGACCUAUGCACUGCAUAAGAGCAAGAUAAAGAGGAUGGUGAAAAUGAGGAUGGAGACAAUACUAAUGAUGACAAUGAGUCAUUUUAUAGUGUAGUGCUGAAAGAGGCGAAACGUCAUAUUUAUCCUGGUUGUACCAAAUUUUCAAGGUUGUCCUUUGUUGUAAAGCUUCUUCAUAUGAAGUCAUUAUAUAGGAUCACUAACUCUGCAUUUACUGCAAUAUUAAAGUUGUUGGUUGAAGCAUUCCCAAAGUGCAAUACACUCCCAAAAUCAUAUAAUGAAGCAAAGAGUCUUCUAAAGAAAUUAGGUCUUGGAUAUGUAUCAAGAUUAGAGAGCAAGAAGAGAUGAAGAAGAAGCAAGAUGCCAUGGAUGCUAAACUUGAGCUUAUGCUAAGUCAGAUUCAACCAAGUUAAAGCUAACUAGUAUGGGGUGUUAGGCUUUGUUGGUACUUCUCUUUUGCUGAUGCUAUUGCAUUCUAUUGAUGGAUAAAUACGUUUCAAUCCAUUUUUUGUCUGUUGUGCUGCUAGAGUAGCUUUAGCGGCAUGUGUGGUGUGUUGGAGUGGCUUACGUGUCAGUGGUUGGAUACUUGCUGUAAUGACAUGCUAUUGGAUACUUGCAUGUAAUGACAUGCUGGAGUGUGGUCAGUAUUUUUUGUGAUGAGAUGCUGGAUUAAAAUCUGAGUUGUGAUGUAAUAGAAUUCAACAUUUUGUCAUUAUGUUCUGGAUUAUAAUUAAUAUAUAUUUAAAUUA